GAUGGUAGUGUGGGGUCUCCCCAUCCUGACCCCAUGCCGAACUCAGAAGUGAAACGCCGUAGCGCCGAUGGUAGUGUGGGGUCUCCCCAUGCGAGAGUAGGACACUGCCAGGC
rnacentral:rRNA from 1 species